rnacentral:rRNA from 1 species
AGAGUUUGAUCUGGCUCAGAAUGAACGCUGGCGGCGUGCUUAACACAUGCAAGUCGAACGAGAAAGAGAUUGCUUGCAAUCUUGAGUAGAGUGGCGCACGGGUGAGUAACACGUAGAUAAUCUACCUUCAAGCCCGGGAUAACCAUUCGAAAGGAUGGCUAAUACCGGAUGCAGUGCAUACACAAAAGCGUAUGURUGAAAGAUUGCCUCUUCUUAGAAAGCAGUUGUUUGGAGAUGAGUUUGCGUACCAUUAGCUUGUUGGUGGGGUAAGGGCCUACCAAGGCUGUGAUGGUUAGCUGGUCUGAGAGGAUGAUCAGUCACACUGGAACUGGAACACGGUCCAGACUCCUACGGGAGGCAACAGUGAGGAAUUUUGCGCACUGGGGGAAACCCUGACGCAGCAACGCCGCGUGAGUGAAGAAGGCCCUUGGGUCGUAAAGCUCUGUCAACCGGGAAGAAGUUAUUCAUUAUUAACAGUGGUGGAUAUUGACGGUACCGGUGGAGGAAGCGCCGGCUAACUCCGUGCCAGCAGCCGCGGUAACACGGGGGGCGCAAGCGUUAUUCGGAAUUAUUGGGCGUAAAGGGCGCGUAGGCGGUUCUGUCGGUCAGAUGUGAAAGCCCGGGGCUCAACCCUGGAAGUGCAUUUGAAACAGCAUACUUGAGUACGGGAGAGGAAAGCGGAAUUCCUGGUGUAGAGGUGAAAUUCGUAGAUAUCAGAGAACACCGAUGGCGAAGGCUGCUUUCUGGACCGAUACUGACGCUGAKGCGCGAAGGCGUGGGUAGCGAACAGGAUUAGAUACCCUGGUAGUCCACGCA